GAUUUCCUAAGCACAGUUAGUCUUUUAUUUUCUAAACAUGCUUCUUGCAUAUAAAACGCUCAAGCCUCAGUGCUUUAUUGACAAAGGUCACAGCUUUCAGAAAUAGCAAAAAGCAACAUUCUGAUUAUUAACACAUGUACAGUUAUACAACACAAAACAAUUUCAGACAAAAGCAGAAGAGGUAGAGCAGAGAGUUGGCGCUAUCUGUGUGUGUGGACACUUAGCACAGGGACAGGUCACCAACACCCUGCGUGGAAAUGAGCUGUCCUAUCGUGGAAACAGGUUUAUAAAUAGUAAGGGGAGGGUAUCUCUUCUAAAAAGCUAUAUAUGUCUUGUAUCCCUUUCCAAAGGCUGCCAUAGCUCUUAGGUUUAUUCUAUAGUAUUUACAACAGUCCUGUGCUGCAUAGAGACUUCUUUCCAGAAUAAGUGCUUUCAGGUAGUUAUAGCAAUAUUCUUCCCAUCACUGAACUGUGAUAACAGCUCUUCUUGUUGAAGACAGCUAGCAAUAGCCAUCAUCCUGAAAGUGAGGCUAAAGAUUCUACGUCACUGUCUCAAAAUGUCUGCAACAGUGUAAAGUACUUGAAAAAAAUGUGUAUAAAUGUUUUGCCUAGAAACCACAUGCAUGCCUGAUGCACUCUGGGUGACAAAAUUGUGAGCUGUCAUGUGGGUGCUAGGAUUAGAACCCACAUCCUCUGAAAGAGUAGCUAGUGCCGAUCAUCACUAAGCCAUCUCUUCAGCCCCUUGAAACUUUUAAAAUAUCACAUGAUUGUUAACAUUUUACAGAUAAGAUUUUUGGGGUCUUGGAAUUUUAAUUUCCUUUGGGUGGUUGUCAACAAGAAAACAAAAUUAGACCUCUAAGAUUAUAGAGGGUUGUUUUUGGUUUUUUGUUUCAUUUUGUUUUUUAAAACUACUUAAUUUCAAAGGAAUAGUUCUUGGAAGUUUUUAAUAGUGAGGAAGUUGUAAUUUCCAAUAGUUAACUCUCCUGCUUUAUUAACACUGAUGACAAAUUUUAAUAUUAUAAAAAGUCUCAUGAACUUUUAUGGUGUUAUUACACUGAUCUUUAUGGAAUGCCCAGAUGACUAAAGCACUUCAGUCAUGUAAAUACACUGUCCCAAUGAUUUUUAUAUAAAAAUUAUUUCAGAGAAAACGAUUUACUCACUAUGAAUACUUAAUUUCACUCAAAGUCCUUAAGAGUGUCACCAGGUACAUCAACCAAACUCCAAAUGCCCAUACCCAGGACUUGACUAGCACAGGUCGAAUACACUGUUUUUGGUUUGAUUUUUUUUUUUUGGGGGGGGGGGGGGGGGGGUNNNNNNNNNNNNNNNUUCCAGGACAGCUUGAACUACAUAAUAAUAGACCCUGUCUCAAAAAAAAAACAAAAACUUUGAAAGUUGUAUAAGAACUCAAUGUAAAAGUCAAUGUAAGGCUCAAUGGUCACAGGUGGAAGCUCUC
ensembl:antisense Gm42893 predicted gene 42893